rnacentral:rRNA from 1 species
CGUCGCUCGUCAGAGUUUGAUCCUGGCUCAGGAUGAACGCUAGCUACAGGCUUAACACAUGCAAGUCGAGGGGCAGCAUGGGCUUAGCUUGCUAAGCCCGAUGGCGACCGGCGCACGGGUGAGUAACACGUGAGUAACCUGCCUUUCACAAAGGGAUAGCCUCGGGAAACCGGGAUUAAUACCUUAUGACACUUAGAUAUCGCAUGAUAAUUAAGUUAAAGAAUUUCGGUGAAAGAUGGUCUCGCGUCUGAUUAGCUAGUUGGUAAGGUAACGGCUUACCAAGGCGACGAUCAGUAGCCGGAUUGAGAGGUUGAACGGCCACACUGGAACUGAGACACGGUCCAG